CAGGAGCUUCAAACACUCCCAAACCCUUUGUUAAAUCUACCUAUUGUUGCUUCGGCAGGCGGCCCCAGGGCGGGGCUGUGGCCUUUUUAGGUGCCUGCCGGAGGUAUCAAACUCGUCAUUUUUUAGUGUCUGAGUCUCUAUAAAAAUAGAAUCA
rnacentral:misc_RNA from 1 species